rnacentral:rRNA from 1 species
ACACGGUCCAAACUCCUACGGGAGGCAGCAGUGGGGAAUAUUGCACAAUGGGCGAAAGCCUGAUGCAGCAACGCCGCGUGAGUGAUGAAGGCCUUCGGGUCGUAAAACUCUGUCCUCAAGGAAGAUAAUGACGGUACUUGAGGAGGAAGCCCCGGCUAACUACGUGCCAGCAGCCGCGGUAAUACGUAGGGGGCUAGCGUUAUCCGGAUUUACUGGGCGUAAAGGGUGCGUAGGCGGUCUUUCAAGUCAGGAGUGAAAGGCUACGGCUCAACCGUAGUAAGCUCUUGAAACUGGGAGACUUGAGUGCAGGAGAGGAGAGUGGAAUUCCUAGUGUAGCGGUGAAAUGCGUAGAUAUUAGGAGGAACACCAGUUGCGAAGGCGGCUCUCUGGACUGUAACUGACGCUGAGGCACGAAAGCGUGGGGAGCAAACAGGAUUAGAUACCCUGGUAGUCCACGCUGUAAACGAUGAGUACUAGGUGUCGGGGGU